GACGAACGCUGGCGGCGUGCUUAACACAUGCAAGUCGAACGGAAAGGCCCUGCUUUUGUGGGGUGCUCGAGUGGCGAACGGGUGAGUAACACGUGAGUAACCUGCCCUUGACUUUGGGAUAACUUCAGGAAACUGGGGCUAAUACCGGAUAGGAGCUCCUGCUGCAUGGUGGGGGUUGGAAAGUUUCGGCGGUUGGGGAUGGACUCGCGGCUUAUCAGCUUGUUGGUGGGGUAGUGGCUUACCAAGGCUUUGACGGGUAGCCGGCCUGAGAGGGUGACCGGCCACAUUGGGACUGAGAUACGGCCCAGACUCCUACGGGAGGCAGCAGUGGGGAAUAUUGCACAAUGGGCGGAAGCCAGAUGCAGCAACGCCGCGUGCGGGAUGACGGCCUUCAGGUUGUAAACCGCUUUCGCCUGUGACGAAGCGUGAGUGACGGUAAUGGGUAAAGAAGCACCGGCUAACUACGUG
rnacentral:rRNA from 1 species